rnacentral:rRNA from 1 species
UACAGAGGAUGCAAGCGUUAUCCGGAAUGAUUGGGCGUAAAGCGUCUGUAGGUGGCUUUUUAAGUCCGCCGUCAAAUCCCAGGGCUCAACUCUGGACAGGCGGUGGAAACUACCAAGCUGGAGUACGGUAGGGGCAGAGGGAAUUUCCGGUGGAGCGGUGAAAUGCGUAGAGAUCCGGAGGAACACCGACGGCGUAGGCAGCGCCCUGGCUGUGAAUAAAGCUGACACUGAGGCACGAAAGCUGGGGGAGCAAACAGG